CGCAGCCGCGGUAAUUCCAGCUCCAAUAGCGUAUAUUAAAGUUGUUGCAGUUAAAAAGCUCGUAGUUGAAUUUCGGGACCAAUUUGUUGGUCGUGCCUCGGUACGUACUGGUAUUAUUGGUUUCUCCCUUCUGAAGAACCUCGAUGCCAUUAAUUUGGUGUCGUGGGGAAUCAGGACUGUUACUUUGAAAAAAUUAGAGUGUUUAAAGCAAGCAUACGCUUGAAUACAUUAGCAUGGAAUAAUGAAAUAGGACGUUUGAUUCUAUUUUGUUGGUUUCUAGGAUCGACGUAAUGAUUAAUAGGGAUAGUUGGGGGCAUUAGUAUUCAAUUGUCAGAGGUGAAAUUCUUGGAUUUAUUGAAGACUAACUACUGCGAAAGCAUUUGCCAAGGAUGUUUUCAUUAAUCAAGAACGAAAGUUAGGGGAUCGAAGACGAUCAGAUACCGUCGUAGUCUUAACCAUAAACUAUGCCGACUAGGGAUCGGAUGAUGUUAAUUUUUUAAUGACUCAUUCGGCGCCUUAC
rnacentral:misc_RNA from 1 species